rnacentral:rRNA from 1 species
UAACACGUGGGUAACCUGCCUGUAAGACUGGGAUAACUCCGGGAAACCGGGGCUAAUACCGGAUGCUUGAUUGAACCGCAUGGUUCAAUCAUAAAAGGUGGCUUUUAGCUACCACUUACAGAUGGACCCGCGGCGCAUUAGCUAGUUGGUGAGGUAACGGCUCACCAAGGCGACGAUGCGUAGCCGACCUGAGAGGGUGAUCGGCCACACUGGGACUGAGACACGGCCCAGACUCCUACGGGAGGCAGCAGUAGGGAAUCUUCCGCAAUGGACGAAAGUCUGACGGAGCAACGCCGCGUGAGUGAUGAAGGUUUUCGGAUCGUAAAACUCUGUUGUUAGGGAAGAACAAGUACCGUUCGAAUAGGGCGGCACCUUGACGGUACCUAACCAGAAAGCCACGGCUAACUACGUGCCAGCAGCCGCGGUAAUACGUAGGUGGNCNANANGNCGUUGUUCCGGNAAUUAUUGGGNCGUAAAGCGCGCGCAGGCGGUUUCUUAAGUCUGAUGUGAAAGCCCCCGGCUCAACCGGGGAGGGUCAUUGGAAACUGGGGAACUUGAGUGCAGAAGAGGAGAGUGGAAUUCCACGUGUAGCGGUGAAAUGCGUAGAGAUGUGGNAGGAACACCAGUGGCGAAGGNCNNGACUCNUNCUNGGNUCUNGUAACUGACGCUGAGGCGCGAAANGCGUGGGGNAGCGAACAGGNAUUNAGAUACCCUGGUNAGUCCACGCCGNUAAACGAUGAGUGCUAAGUGUUAGAGGGUUUCCNGCCCUUUAGUGCUGCAGCAAACGCAUUAAGCACUNCCGCCUGGGGAGUACGGNUCGCAAGACUGAAACUCAAAGGAANUUGNANCGGGGGCCCNGCACAANGCGGUGGNAGCNAUGNUGGUUUAAUUNCGAANGCAACNGCGNAAGAACCUUACCAGGUCUUGANCAUCCUCUGNACAACCCUAGAGANUAGGGCUUCCCCUUCGGGGGCNAGAGUGNACAGGUGGUGCNAUGGUUGUCGUCNAGCUCGUGUCNGUGAGANUGNUUGGGUUAAGUCCCGCAACGAGCGCAACCCUUGAUCUUAAUUGCCAGCAUUCAAUUNGGGCACUCUAAGGUGACUGCCGGUGACAAACCGGAGGAAGGUGGGGAUGACGUCAAAUCA